rnacentral:rRNA from 1 species
CUUUCCCUCUGUCGGCAGGCCUAACACAUGCAAGUCGAGCGGAUGAAGGGAGCUUGCUCCUGGAUUCAGCGGCGGACGGGUGAGUAAUGCCUAGGAAUCUGCCUGGUAGUGGGGGAUAACGUCCGGAAACGGGCGCUAAUACCGCAUACGUCCUGAGGGAGAAAGUGGGGGAUCUUCGGACCUCACGCUAUCAGAUGAGCCUAGGUCGGAUUAGCUAGUUGGUGGGGUAAAGGCCUACCAAGGCGACGAUCCGUAACUGGUCUGAGAGGAUGAUCAGUCACACUGGAACUGAGACACGGUCCAGACUCCUACGGGAGGCAGCAGUGGGGAAUAUUGGACAAAGGGCGAAAGCCUGAUCCAGCCAUGCCGCGUGUGUGAAGAAGGUCUUCGGAUUGUAAAGCACUUUAAGUUGGGAGGAAGGGCAGUAAGUUAAUACCUUGCUGUUUUGACGUUACCAACAGAAUAAGCACCGGCUAACUUCGUG